GACGAACGCUGGCGGCGUGCUUAACACAUGCAAGUCGAGCGCUGAAGCCUAGCUUGCUGGGUGGAUGAGUGGCGAACGGGUGAGUAACACGUGAGUAACCUGCCCUCUUCUUUGGGAUAACGCCCGGAAACGGGUGCUAAUACUGGAUAUUCACUGAUCUUCGCAUGGGGGUUGGUGGAAAGGUUUUUUCUGGUGGGGGAUGGGCUCGCGGCCUAUCAGCUUGUUGGUGGGGUGAUGGCCUACCAAGGCUUUGACGGGUAGCCGGCCUGAGAGGGUGACCAGUCACAUUGGGACUGAGAUACGGCCCAGACUCCUACGGGAGGCAGCAGUGGGGAAUAUUGCACAAUGGGCGAAAGCCUGAUGCAGCGACGCCGCGUGAGGGAUGGAGGCCUUCGGGUUGUAAACCUCUUUCGCUUAUGGUCAAGCCGCAGCUUUGGGUUGUGGUGAGGGUAGUGGGUAAAGAAGCGCCGGCUAACUACGUGCCAGCAGCCGCGGUAAUACGUAGGGCGCGAGCGUUGUCCGGAAUUAUUGGGCGUAAAGGGCUUGUAGGCGGUUGGUCGCGUCUGCCGUGAAAUCCUCUGGCUUAACUGGGGGCGUGCGGUGGGUACGGGCUGACUUGAGUGCGGUAGGGGAGACUGGAACUCCUGGUGUAGCGGUGGAAUGCGCAGAUAUCAGGAAGAACACCGGUGGCGAAGGCGGGUCUCUGGGCCGUUACUGACGCUGAGGAGCGAAAGCGUGGGGAGCGAACAGG
rnacentral:rRNA from 1 species